rnacentral:rRNA from 1 species
AUUGAACGCUGGCGGCAUGCUUUACACAUGCAAGUCGAACGGUAACAGGUUAAGCUGACGAGUGGCGAACGGGUGAGUAAUGCAUCGGAACGUGCCCGGUCGUGGGGGAUAACGCAGCGAAAGCUGCGCUAAUACCGCAUACGAUCUGAGGAUGAAAGCGGGGGACCGUAAGGCCUCGCGCGAUCGGAGCGGCCGAUGUCAGAUUAGGUAGUUGGUGGGGUAAAGGCUCACCAAGCCGACGAUCUGUAGCUGGUCUGAGAGGACGACCAGCCACACUGGGACUGAGACACGGCCCAGACUCCUACGGGAGGCAGCAGUGGGGAAUUUUGGACAAUGGGCGCAAGCCUGAUCCAGCAAUGCCGCGUGCAGGAAGAAGGCCUUCGGGUUGUAAACUAGCUUUUGUUACGGAGCGAAAAGGUCUACCCCUAACUAACCGGGAGGCGUGAUGACGGUACCGGUAAGAAUAAAGACACCGGCUAACUACGUGCCAGCAGCCGCGGUAAGACG